rnacentral:lncRNA from 1 species
CAACAAGACCCAGGGAAAAAACUGAUUUCAAAGAUUCCUGGGAAAGACCUGCCUGCUGAUCUUGGAGGGCCUUCUUGGGAAGUGAGGGGCAGCUAUGGCUCACCGUGGGGAUACGGACACUGGUGGUAGACAUUGGGGAGUACUCAACAGCAUGAGCUUUCCUAGAGGCUGCCAUUUUGACACCAAGACCUGGCCCUCCAGCAGCCUGUAGGCUCCAAAUUGGGAUGCCUCAGGCCAAACAACCAACAGGACAGGAACACAGCUGCACCCAAUCAGCAGACAGCUUCCAAAAGUCUUCCUGAGCUCAGGGCUACCUUGAAACACAGCCCUGACAUGGUCCUGCCCACCAGAGGUGGUUCCAAUGACCAGUGGGCGGGCACCAGUGCCUCCCACCAGUAAAGGUGUAUAGGUCUCUAGCACAGCCUCACCUACCAAGGGCAGACACCAAAGAAAGAGGAAUUAUGAUUCUUCAGCUUGUGGAAUGGAGACUGCAAUCACAGAAAGUCUUCCAAAGUGAGAUAGCAGCAGAAUAUUUCCCAGAUGAAGGAACAAGAUAAAACCCCAGAAGAACAACUAAGUGAAGUGGAGACAGGCUAUCUACCUGAAAAAGAAUUCAGUGUAAUGAUAGUCAAGAUGUUCAAGAUCUCAGAAAAAGAAUGGAGACAUAAACUAAGAAGAUACUAUAAAUGUUUAACAAAGAACUAGAAGAUUUAAAGCAAAAACAAUUGAAGAAUAUAACUGAAAUGAAAAAUAUACUAGAAAUCCAUAGCAAAAUAAAUAAGGCAAAAGAAUGGAGCAGUGAGCUAAAGACAGAAUGGUGGAAAUCACUGCCUUAAAACAGAGUAAAGAAUGAAAAACAAUGAGCACUGUUCAAGAGAUUAUGGAAAAACAUUUUUUUUUUUGGCUUUUGUCUUUUUAAGGACCAGACCUGUGGCAUAUGUAGGCUCCCAGGCUAGAGAUCAAAUUGGAGGUGUGGCUGCCGGCCUAGGCCACAUGGGAUCCGAGCCGCAUCUGUGACCUACACCAAGCUCACAGUAAUGCUUGAUCCUUAGACCACUAAAAGCAAGGCCACUGAUUGAAUCUGCAUCCUCAUGGAUGCUAGUCAGAUUCUUUUCCACUCCUGGAAAAACACUUAAUGCAACAACAUUCACCUUAUAGGUGUUCCAGAAGGAGAAGAGAGAAGGGCCUGAGAAAAUAUAUGCGAUAACAGAUAAAAACUUCCCUAACAUAGGAAAGGAAACAGAUGUCUAGGUCCAGGAAGUGCAGAAUCCUGCAUAGAAAAAAGACCAACAAAUACAAAUCCAAGACAAUAAAAAAAAUGGCAAAAAGAACAUAUAUAUUGAUAAUUAACUUAAAUGUAAAUGAAUUAAAUACUCCAAGAAAAAGACACAGACUGGUUGAACAGAUUCAAAAAUAAGACCUGUAUAUAUGCUGCUUACAAGAAACCCACCUCAGAUCUAGGGAUCCUACAGACAAAGUGAGGGGAUGGAAAAUGCUAUUCCAUGGAAAUGAAAAUCAAAAGAAAUCUGGUGUUGAAAUGCUCACAUUAGACAAAAAGACUUUAAAGAUAGUUACAAAAAACAAAGAACUCUACAUAAUGAUCAAGAGAUCUUUCAGAAAAGACAGAACAAUUGUCAAUAUAUAUGCACUGAAUAUAGGAGCACCUAAAUAAUAAGGCAAAUGUUAAUGAACACAAAGAAGACAUUGACAGUAACAUAAUAAAAAUAGGGGACUUUACCACCGCACUUACAUAAAUGGGUACAGCAUCCAAAUAGAAAAUCAUUAAAGAAACAGACAUUCAAUAACAUAUUCAGCCAGAUAAAUUUAAUAGAUAUUUACAGAGCAUAUAUAGCAUUCCAUGCAAAAACAGCAUAAUGCGCAUUAUUUUCAAGUGCACAUGGAACAUUCUCCAGGGUAGGUAACAUGCUAGGCCACAAAGCAAACCUCUGCAAAUUUAGGACAGUUGAAAUCACAUCAAGAGUCUUUUUUGACUACAAUGCUCCAAGAUCAUAAUUCAACUAUAAGAAAAAACUGAAAUCCAAACAUGUGGAGGCUAAACAUAUGUUAUUAAAAACCCAACAGGUCACUGAAGAAAUCAAUGAAGAAAUAUAAAAAAAUACAUUGAGGAGGCAGGAUCAAGAUGGCGGAGGAGUAAGACAUGGUGCUCAACUUUGCCCACCAACACACACACACAAAACCUAUCUACAUCAGAAUGAUUUGCACAGAAUAUCUACUGAAUGCUGGCAGAAGACCUUAAACCUCCAAAAAGGACAAGAAACCCUCCACAUAACUGGGGAGAACAAAAGGCAAAAGAGAGAAAAGAAACAAAAAGAAUUAGGAUGGACCAACACUACUGAGAGGGAGCUGUCAAAGAGGAAAGCAAUCUACACCCCAGGGAAGCUGCCUCACUGAUGGGGAGAUCAGCGGAGAUGGAGGGACCUCAAAGUACUGAAAAAAGGCACAGCAGCCAGACUGAGGAGGGUAAAGCAGAGAGAGCUGCAUAAUCCAUUAGUAGCACCUCCCUGGACACCACAGCCUGAGAUGCUCAGGAGGAGGCAUGGGGCAUGAGACUCAGGAUCCAGAGGUCAGUUCCAGAGAGAAGACUAGGGUUGGCUGUGUGGAGACAGCCCAAGGGGCCAUGGGCUGGGUGUGGCCUGCCAUCACUAGGGAUCUGUGAACAGGCACGACCUAUGGCCCCAGUCGCUUCAGGGAUUGGCACAGAGGAAGGCACUGCAACCAAGCACUUCCCAUUGUUGUUCUCACUCAUGUGGGAAUGCACACAUUCUGCUGCUGCCACUGCCAAACACUCCAGGUGCCACCUACACCUCCAUGUGGGUCGCUGGCACUGUCAAAGGCUCAGAAACCAGGCACUGGCUACUAGCUUUUCCCAUUGCCUCCAUCUGCACAUGCAGGCCAUACAGGAGGCAUAAGGAUACAGCCUGUACACACUGCGGAAAGAGUAAAGAUAAACCAAAAGCAGCCCUCACACUGAAAAAAAAAAAAAAAGUAAGCCCUCACAAAAUAGCCAGGGGCACUCUCACAUAUAAAUAGUGUUGCAACUACAACAGUUUUCCCUAAUUCACAGAGUAAGAAAAAUAUAAGCAAAAUGAAGACGCUCAGGAACUAUAUCCAGUUAAAAUAACAGUAGAAUUCACCUGAAGGAGCAAACAAUGAAAUAGACCUCUGCAGUCAGAUGCUGAAUUCAAAAAGGAGAGAGUGAAAAUACUAAAGGAAUUAAGAGCAAAUAUGAAGGAAUUAAAAGUGGUAGGAACAGUAAUACAGAUAAAUUUAGAAACGAACUAGAAAAUAUAAGGAGGAGGCAAUAAAAAUUAGAAAAUUCAUCUGCAGAGAUGCAGUAUGAGUUAAAGGCACUGAAGAGCAGAAUAAAUAAUGUGCAGAAAUGAAUUAGUCAUUUGGAAGAUAAAGUAAUGGAAAUCAUCCAAUCAGGACAGCAGACAGAAAACCAAAUGAAAAAAACAUGAACGCAAUAU